rnacentral:snRNA from 1 species
AGAACAAGAAUUCGAACUUUU